UGCAUUGUAGGCUAGGUCACAUCCAUGAAAGAAGGAUUCAAAAGUUGCUAAAUGAUGGAUAUCUAGAUCCAUUCGACUAUGUGUCAUAUGCAACUUGCAAGCCUUGCCUUCGUGGAACUAACCAACUCUCCAUUUAGUGGAACUGGAGAGAGAGCCAUUGAGCUGUUGGAACUCAUACAUAGUGAUGUAUGUGGACCCAUGUCAACU
rnacentral:lncRNA from 1 species